rnacentral:ncRNA from 2 species
GAACGCCGUAUGCGAUGAAAGUUGCACGUACGGUGUGGAGCGGGGGAAAACCUAGAGAUAACUUCAAAGGGUUACCUAUCGCUAU